rnacentral:rRNA from 1 species
UGCCAGCCGCCGCGGUAAUACGUGGGUGGCAAACGUUGUUCGGAAUCACUGGGCAUAAAGAGUCUGUAGGCGGUUUGGUAAGUCAGGUGUGAAAUCCCGGGGCUCAACCCCGGAAUUGCACUUGAUACUGCUAGACUAGAAUAACGGAGAGGUAAGCGGAAUUCAUGGUGUAGCGGUGAAAUGCGUUGAUAUCAUGGAGAACACCAAUGGCGAAGGCAGCUUACUGGACGAUUAUUGACGCUGAGAGACGAAAGCUAGGGUAGCGAAAGGGAUUAGAUA